GGUCCCAUGGUAUAGUGGCUAGUGCUCUGGACUCCAAUGCCAGCGAUCCAAGUUCAAACCCCGGUGAGACUC
rnacentral:tRNA from 1 species